GAGUAGGCUUAGGUUAUGUACGUAGUCUAGGCCAUACGUGUUGGAGAUUGAGACUAGUAGGGCUAGGCCUACUG
ensembl:miRNA